rnacentral:rRNA from 1 species
GACAGAGGGUGCAAACGUUGCUCGGAAUUACUGGGCGUAAAGCGCGUGUAGGCGGGUUUGCAAGUCAGAUGUGAAAUCCCCGGGCUCAACCCGGGAACUGCAUUUGAAACUGUGAGCCUUGAGUGUCGGAGAGGAAGGCGGAAUUCCUGGUGUAGAGGUGAAAUUCGUAGAUAUCAGGAGGAACACCGGUGGCGAAGGCGGCCUUCUGGACGACAACUGACGCUGAGACGCGAAAGCGUGGGGAGCAAACAGG